UACGGGAGGCAGCAGUCGGGAAUAUUGCGCAAUGGAGGAAACUCUGAUGCAGCGACGCCGCGUGAGUGACGAAGUGUUUCGGCAUGUAAAGCUCUAUCAGCAGGGAAGAAAAUGACGGUACCUGACUAAGAAGCCCCGGCUAACUACGUGCCAGCAGCCGCGGUAAU
rnacentral:rRNA from 1 species